GCUUACGGCCACACCACCCUGAGCGCGCCCGAUUCGUCUGAUCUCGGAAGCUAAGCAGGGUCGGGCCUGGUUAGUACUUGGAUGGGAGACCGCCUGGGAAUACCAGGUGCCGUAAGCU
rnacentral:rRNA from 1 species